rnacentral:rRNA from 1 species
UACGUAAGGACCGAGCGUUGUCCGGAAUUACUGGGCGUAAAGAGCUCGUAGGUGGUUUGUCGCGUCGUCUGUGAAAUUCCGGGGCUUAACUCCGGGCGUGCAGGCGAUACGGGCAAACUGGAGUGCUGUAGGGGAGACUGGAAUUCCUGGUGUAGCGGUGGAAUGCGCAGAUAUCAGGGGGAACACCGAUGGCGAAGGCAGGUCUCUGGGCAGUUACUGACACUGAGGAGCGAAAGCAUGGGUAGCGAACAGG